GCCAUGCAUGUCUAAGUAUAAACGAUUUAAUCGUGAAACCGCGAAUGGCUCAUUAUAACAGCUAUAAUUUACUUGAUCUUGACACAAUCCUACUUGGAUAACUGUGGUAAUUCUAGAGCUAAUACAUGCAUUAAAGCUCUGACCUCACGGGAAGAGUGCAUUUAUUAGAACAAAACCAAGCGGCUUCGGCUGUUUCUGGUUGACUCAUAGUAACUGAGCUGAUCGCAUGGUCUUGCACCGGCGACGUGUCUUUCAAGUAUCUGCCGUAUCAACUUUCGAUGGUAGUGUAUCUGACUACCAUGGUGAUCACGCGUAACGGAGAAUAAGGGUUCGGCUCCGGAGAGUUCGCCUGAGAAAUCGCGAACACAUCUAAGGAAGGCAGCAGGCGCGAAAAUUACCCACUCUCAGCACGAGGAGGUAGUGACGAAAAAUAACGAGACCGUUCUCUUAUGAGGCCGGUCAUCGGAAUGGGUACAAUUUAAACCCUUUAACGAG
rnacentral:rRNA from 1 species